AAGUGGGUCAGAGGGACCGAGAGGAGAUGAGGCGAUCAAUCUUAACCCCCUGACAGCUCCCUAGGAUGGCAUCAAAGAAUUUGGCUCUUUGGGAAAGCAGAGGGAACAGCCGAAAUUCCACAUCCCUUUAAAAGGCCUGGGGGUGGGGGGUGUUAGCAAAAGAGAAAGGUGAUUCUGGGAGAGCAGGGAAACAGAUGGGAAAUGGGGACAGAGGAAGGGCGCUGGGUUGGGUGGAAAGUUUGUCUGGAGAACUCCCACGGCUCUGGCCUCCCCUCCCCCUCCUUGCUCGCUGCCUCCUAGCAAGAAGGAGAAGGCUGGUUAGCAGAGAAAUGGCAACUCGGCCGGGAGCUGGAACUAGAAACUUUCUGUCAGUGUAACAGACGCGUGGGUGGUGACCCAAUGGUGGUUGGGCUUCGGGUCACGUGACGACUUCUUUGUCGCUCCGGAAGAGAACUGUGAAGUUUAGGUUGCGUGAGAAUUGCCAGGAAAAAAAAAAUCAAGAUUUGGGGGAAUUACCCACAUAGACGGAAGGUGUGUUAACUUGGGCGCUUCUUGGAUUCUACCCUGAGGAGGCGGCGCAUGGUGAGAGGAGAGAUCUUGAUUUGCCGCUCGCUGAGGUUCAGCAGGUUGGCCAUCUCCACGCGGCGCGGCCGGCACAGGUAGCGGUUGAAGUGGAACUCCUUCUCCAGCUCCACCAGCUGCGCGCUAGUGUACGCCGUCCGCGC